rnacentral:lncRNA from 1 species
GAACAUUAAAAAACUGACCAGGAUUAAAAAAAUUGACAAAACAUUUUUUUACUAAAAUAUUCUAAUUAAUCCGAAUUCAAAAACAAAAACAUGUAUCUACACAACUCAAUAGCUAGAAACCAUAAAGGGAACAAUAAAUUUCAAAUAAAAUACUGGAUGAACAACUUAUUGCCGAUGGAAAACGUCCCAUUGGGCGCCACAAGUUAUUUUCUCACUUAUCUUCACUCGAAUAAGUGCUUUCUCUAUCUUCGACAAGAAAAUUCUCAUCGGCGUCAUCAGAUUUUUCAAUAGUGCCGCAGCAAAUUAUUGAUUCCUCAUGAACAGAGUCACUGUAAGUCUGUCAAGAGACAUAUUUUCAUCUUCAACGCUUAAUGCAUGGCCCUUUAGUUAAUCACUGGAGCAGAUGCCAUUAGGUAGGUGAAUCCUGUCUCCAAAAACGUCCGGCAAACCUAAUAACCAUUAUCUUCACUCUGCAUAGAUGACUUUCCUUUCUGAUCACUAUAAUUGGCUGUUAACUGCUCGUGAGGAUCUCGAAUAUUGUAUUUUUUCAUCAAAUUUUCAAUCUUAGUAAUAUGUUCUUGGGAGAUUGGAAUAUCUGUAGCAUAAACGAGAAUAUUAACCUGGACUGAAUAGAAAACUGGAUUAGAAUUAGUUAUUUCCAGGUGCUCUGGCUCUCAUCGUCAUUUCUUGGAAAAAUUAUACAGGUUCUCCACUCGAUAGAAUGAUCCCUCUGUGAACAAUAAUUCGAGUCCCUCUAUAUGUGUAUAUAUAGAUGCCGGUAUAUAUCUGUAUGUGUUAAAGUGAAAGCUUCGUCAGAUACGGAAGUAAACUUAUGGGUGGAGGCAAAGAUGGUGGAGAAAUUGGCUGGGGUGGUUUGAUCAAU